rnacentral:tRNA from 1 species
GCCCUGUUAGCUCAGUGGUAGAGCAUCAGACUUUUAAUCUGAAGGACGGUGGUUCGAUUCCAAUACGAGGGCU